rnacentral:rRNA from 1 species
AUAUUGGGCAAUGGGCGAAAGCCUGACCCAGCGACGCCGCGUGAGGGAAGAAGGCCUUCGGGUCGUAAACCUCUGUCAUCGGGGACGAAGGAAGUGACGGUACCCGAGGAGGAAGCCCCUGCUAACUACGUGCCAGCAGCCGCGGUAAUACGUAGGGGGCGAGCGUUGUCCGGAGUUAUUGGGCGUAAAGGGCGUGUAGGCGGCCUGUUAAGUCAGGUGUGAAAUUUCAGGGCUUAACCCUGAACCUGCGCUUGAAACUGGCAGGCUAGAGGACAGGAGAGGGAAGUGGAAUUCCCGGUGUAGCGGUGGAAUGCGUAGAUAUCGGGAGGAACACCAGUGGCGAAGGCGGCUUCCUGGACUGUACCUGACGCUGAGGCGCGAAAGCUAGGGGAGCAAACAGG